UACGGAGGAUGCGAGCGUUAUCCGGAUUCAUUGGGUUUAAAGGGUGCGUAGGCGGACGCUUAAGUCAGCGGUAAAAUUGCGGGGCUCAACCUCGUCGAGCCGUUGAAACUGGGUGCCUUGAGUGGGCGAGAAGUACGCGGAAUGCGUGGUGUAGCGGUGAAAUGCAUAGAUAUCACGCAGAACUCCGAUUGCGAAGGCAGCGUACCGGCGCCCAACUGACGCUGAAGCACGAAGGCGUGGGUAUCGAACAGG
rnacentral:rRNA from 1 species